UCGACGGUACAGGAACAGCUUGCUGCUUCGCUGACGAGUGGCGGACGGGUGAGUAAUGUCUGGGAAACUGCCUGAUGGAGGGGGAUAACUACUGGAAACGGUAGCUAAUACCGCAUAACGUCGCAAGACCAAAGAGGGGGACCUUCGGGCCUCUUGCCAUCGGAUGUGCCCAGAUGGGAUUAGCUAGUAGGUGGGGUAACGGCUCACCUAGGCGACGAUCCCUAGCUGGUCUGAGAGGAUGACCAGCCACACUGGAACUGAGACACGGUCCAGACUCCUACGGGAGGCAGCAGUGGGGAAUAUUGCACAAUGGGCGCAAGCCUGAUGCAGCCAUGCCGCGUGUAUGAAGAAGGCCUUCGGGUUGUAAAGUACUUUCAGCGGGGAGGAAGGGAGUAAAGUUAAUACCUUUGCUCAUUGACGUUACCCGCAGAAGAAGCACCGGCUAACUCCGUGCCAGCAGCCGCGGUAAUACGGAGGGUGCAAGCGUUAAUCGGAAUUACUGGGCGUAAAGCGCACGCAGGCGGUUUGUUAAGUCAGAUGUGAAAUCCCCGGGCUCAACCUGGGAACUGCAUCUGAUACUGGC
rnacentral:rRNA from 1 species